rnacentral:rRNA from 1 species
GUGCCAGCCGCCGCGGUAACACGGAGGGUGCAAGCGUUAAUCGGAAUCACUGGGCGUAAAGGGCACGCAGGCGGCCCGUCAAGUGGGAUGUGAAAGCCCCGGGCUCAACCUGGGAAUGGCAUUCCAAACUGGCGGGCUCGAGUCCGGGAGAGGGAGGCAGAAUUCCCCGUGUAGCGGUGAAAUGCGUAGAUAUGGGGAGGAAUACCGGUGGCGAAGGCGGCCUCCUGGCCCGGUACUGACGCUGAGGUGCGAAAGCGUGGGCAGCGAACGGGAUUAGAUACCCGGGUAGUCC